GAAAUGCGAUAAGUAAUGUGAAUUGCAGAAUUCAGUGAAUCAUCGAAUCUUUGAACGCACCUUGCGCUCCUUGGUAUUCCUCGGAGCAUGCCUGUUUGAGUAUCAUGAAAUCCUCAAAACAAUUAUCUUUUGUUCAUUCAAUUGAUUUUUGUUUUGGACUUGGAGGUCUGCAGAUUCACCUCUGCUCCUCUUAAAUUUAUUAGCUGGAUCUCAGUGAGCUCGGUUCCACUCGGCGUGAUAAGUAUCACUCGCUGAGGACACUUGUAAAAAGGUGGCCGGGGUUGCAGAUGAACCGCUUCCAAUGGUCUAUUGGCUUAGACAAUUACUCUUAUGAUUUGAUCUCAAAUCAGGUAGGACUACCCGCUGAACUUAAGCAUAUCAAUAAGCGGAGGAAAAGAAACU
rnacentral:rRNA from 1 species